UCAGUAUGAGGUGAUUUGAGUUGUAUCCAAGGUACGAGUUGAUACUAGAAGUCAUCAAGAAUCAUACGAGAUGUAUGUAAAGUCGUGAGUUCAGUAGUGUAGGCUCCUUAAUAUUCUGUCCAAGGUACGAGUGAGGGGAUACAAGUCACAUGGAUAUGUUACUCAUCGUAGGUUUAGACUCAUAUGUUAACCAGUGUAUACUCUCUGGGGUCCUGCCAAGCUUACGAGUCAGGAAUCUUAGUCGUACCUUACCAUAUGAGUCAUAUGGUUUAGUCAUGAAUACUGACGACCAAUUUAUGUGAAGUUUAGUCAAAUAGCCUUUUGGUCUUUUCCUCUCUAUUAACUCCCAACCCAUGA
rnacentral:lncRNA from 1 species